GAUGAACGCUGGCGGCGUGCCUAAUACAUGCAAGUCGAGCGAACAGACGAGGAGCUUGCUCCUCUGACGUUAGCGGCGGGCGGGUGAGUAACACGUGGAUAACCUACCUAUAAGACUGGGAUAACUUCGGGAAACCGGAGCUAAUACCGGAUAAUAUAUUGAACCGCAUGGUUCAAUAGUGAAAGACGGUUUUGCUGUCACUUAUAGAUGGAUCCGCGCCGCAUUAGCUAGUUGGUAAGGUAACGGCUUACCAAGGCGACGAUGCGUAGCCGACCUGAGAGGGUGAUCGGCCACACUGGAACUGAGACACGGUCCAGACUCCUACGGGAGGCAGCAGUAGGGAAUCUUCCGCAAUGGGCGAAAGCCUGACGGAGCAACGCCGCGUGAGUGAUGAAGGUCUUCGGAUCGUAAAACUCUGUUAUUAGGGAAGAACAAAUGUGUAAGUAACUAUGCACGUCUUGACGGUACCUAAUCAGAAAGCCACGGCUAACUACG
rnacentral:rRNA from 1 species